rnacentral:rRNA from 1 species
UAGGGAAUCUUCCGCAAUGGGCGAAAGCCUGACGGAGCAACGCCGCGUGAGUGAUGAAGGUCUUCGGAUCGUAAAACUCUGUUAUUAGGGAAGAACAAAUGUGUAAGUAACUAUGCACGUCUUGACGGUACAUAAUUAGAAAGCCACGGCUAACUACGUGCCAGCAGCCGCGGUAAUACGUAGGUGACAAGCGUUAUCCGGAAUUAUUGGGCGUAAAGCUCGCGUAGGCGGUUUUUUAAGUCUGAUGUGAAAGCCCACGGCGCAACCGUGGAGGGUCAUUGGAAACUGGAAAACUUGAGUUCAGAAGAUGAAAGUGGAUUUCCAUGAGUAGCGGUGAAAUGCGCAGAGAUAUGGAUGAACACCAGUGGCGAAGGCGACUUUCUGGUCUGUAACUGACGCUGAUGUGCGAAAGCAUGGGGAUCAAACAGG